UCACCAGAUAAGACAGCUGAAUGAUAGUCGGGCUGAAGACUCUACUUGACUAGCUGAGAGGAGGUGCAUGGCCGUCGUCAGUUCGUACUGUGAAGCAUCCUGUUAAGUCAGGCAACGAGCGAGACCCACGCCAACAGUUGCCAGCUCGUCCUCCGGGAUGUGGGGACACUGUUGGGACCGCCUCUGCUAAAGAGAGGAAGGAAUGGGGCAACGGUAGGUCAGCAUGCCCCGAAUUAUCUGGGCUACACGCGGGCUACAAUGGGUGGGACAAUGGGUAUCGACACCGAAAGGUGAAGGCAAUCUCCUAAACCCAUCCGUAGUUCGGAUUGUGGGCUGCAACUCGCCCACAUGAAGCUGGAAUCUGUAGUAAUCGUGUCUCAAAAUGGCACGGUGAAUAUGUCCCUGCUCCUU
rnacentral:rRNA from 1 species